rnacentral:rRNA from 1 species
AAACUAACAAGGAUUCCCCUAGUAACGGCGAGUGAAGCGGGAAGAGCUCAAAUUUGAAAUCUGGCGGCAUACUGUCGUCCGAGUUGUAAUCUAUAGAAGUGUUUUCCGCGACGGACCCAUGUACAAGUCCCUUGGAACAGGGCGUCAUAGGAGGGUGAGAAUCCCGUCCUUGACAUGAUCUCCGGUUGCUUUGUGAUACACUUUCAACGAGUCGAGUUGUUUGGGAAUGCAGCUCAAAAUGGGUGGUGAAUUCCAUCUAAAGCUAAAUAUUGGCGAGAGACCGAUAGCGAACAAGUACCGUGAGGGAAAGAUGAAAAGCACUUUGGAAAGAGAGUUAAACAGUACGUGAAAUUGUUGAAAGGGAAACGAUUGAAGUCAGUCAUGCUCUUUGGGUUAAGCCGUUCGCGGUGUAUUCCAUUGAGUGGGGUCAACAUCAGUUUUGACCGCUGGAAAAAGGCGCGAGGAAGGUAGCACUCUCGGGUGAACUUAUAGCCUCGUGUCAUAUGCAGUGGUUGGGACUGAGGAACGCAGCAUGCCUUUUGGCCGGGAUUCGUCCACGUACAUGCUUAGGAUGUUGACAUAAUG